GCACAAGCGGUGGAGUAUGUGGUUUAAUUCGAUGCAACGCGAAGAACCUUACCUGGUCUUGACAUCCCGGAGACCCUUAGGAAACUAGGGGUGCUUCCAUCUGGAAGAAUCUGGAGACAGGUGCUGCAUGGCUGUCGUCAGCUCGUGUCGUGAGAUGUUGGGUUAAGUCCCGCAACGAGCGCAACCCUUGCCAUUAGUUGCCAGCAGUUCGGCUGGGCACUCUAAAGGGACUGCCGGUGUUAAACCGGAGGAAGGUGGGGAUGACGUCAAGUCCUCAUGGCCUUUAUGACCAGGGCUACACACGUACUACAAUGGCCGAUACAAAGGGCAGCGACACUGCGAGGUGAAGCCAAUCCCGUAAAAUCGGUCUCAGUCCGGAUUGGAGUCUGCAACUCGACUCCAUGAAGUUGGAAUCGCUAGUAAUCGUGGAUCAGCAUGCCACGGUGAAUACGUUCCCGGGCCUU
rnacentral:rRNA from 1 species